AUGUUCGUUCCUGCAGAGGCACGGGAGAGAGAGGGUGCAAGCUGUGAGAGAGGGGAAAGGGAGGAAGGGAUUGUAGGACGACGGUGGAGGCGCAGAAAACAAUGUGAGGUUUGGGGGAGAAGAAAAAGAAAGGGGAAGGAAGAAAAGGCGGGGUGA
rnacentral:rRNA from 1 species